AAGGAGCAGAAAGGGAUCAGAAAGAGAAAGGAGCAGAAGGAGCCAAGGAGGAGAGAAGACAGUGUCAGAAGAAAAAGAAGACUGUGUCAAAUGAAGGAGAAGAAAAGGAGAUUGGAGCAGGAAGGACAAGUGAAGUGAACCCUCUACUUUAUUCUGGACACCACAUCAUAAGGCUUUGGUACCUGGGCCUGACAGGGAAAC